UACGUAGGGCGCAAGCGUUAUCCGGAAUUAUUGGGCGUAAAGGGCGCGUAGGCGGCCUUUCAAGUGACGGGUGAAAUCCCUCGGCUUAACCGAGGAACUGCCUGUCAGACUGGAAGGCUUGAGACCGGGAGAGGUGAGUGGAAUUCCCAGUGUAGCGGUGAAAUGCGUAGAUAUUGGGAGGAACACCAGUGGCGAAGGCGGCUCACUGGACCGGUACUGACGCUGAGGCGCGAAAGCGUGGGGAGCAAACAGG
rnacentral:rRNA from 1 species